rnacentral:tRNA from 1 species
AAGGGAGACCUAAUUCGGGUAGGAGACGAAAAAAAAGUAGUCGCUACCAAGAAUCAAUCCCAAAAGGUCGGAGCGAGGCGAAGUUGGCUUUCAAACUAGGUUCUGGGUUCACACAAGACCUGAAUCAGGAACAAGGGCUAUUAGCUCAGGUGGUUAGAGCGCACCCCUGAUAAGGGUGAGGUCCCUGGUUCGAGUCCAGGAUGGCCCACCUGUACAGGUGGCCAAAACCAAGAAAAGAAGCGAGGAAUCAGCACCUGCUCUUACCUACAUAGUAAGAGAGAAUGCUGGCUCUGAGUACAGAGUCCAGAGGAACCUUGAAAACUGCAUAGAGCUAGGUGAAAAAGCCAAAAAAGAAGACCGCAA